rnacentral:rRNA from 1 species
GAUCCUGGCUCAGGAUGAACGCUAGCUACAGGCUUAACACAUGCAAGUCGAGGGGCAUCACAGUGUAGCAAUACACGGGUGGCGACCGGCGCACGGGUGCGUAACACGUAUCCAAUCUGCCCGUUACUCGGGGAUAGCCUUCUGAAAGGAAGAUUAAUACCCGAUGGCAUGUAUUUCCGGCAUCGGAGAUACAUUAAAGAUUUAUCGGUAACGGAUGAGGAUGCGUACGAUUAGCUGGUUGGCGGGGUAACGGCCCACCAAGGCUACGAUCGUUAGGGGUUCUGAGAGGAAGGUCCCCCACACUGGAACUGAGACACGGUCCAGACUCCUACGGGAGGCAGCAGUGAGGAAUAUUGGUCAAUGGUCGAGAGACUGAACCAGCCAAGUAGCGUGAAGGAUGACUGCCCUACGGGUUGUAAACUUCUUUUGUUUGGGAAUAAAUGAUACUACGUGUAGUAUUUUGCAUGUACCUUACGAAUAAGCAUCGGCUAAUUCCGUG